UCCCUGGUGGUUCAGUGGGUUAAGGAUCCAGCACUGUCACUGCUAAGGCUUAGGUCUCAGCUAUGGCACAGGUUCAAUCCCUGGCCUGGGAA
rnacentral:tRNA from 1 species